ACUCCUACGGGAGGCAGCAGCUAAGAAUAUUCCGCAAUGGACGAAAGUCUGACGGAGCGACGCCGCGUGGAUGAUGAAGGCCGAAAGGUUGUAAAGUCCUUUUGCUGGGGAAGAAUAAGUGUGGGAGGGAAUGCCCGCAUGAUGACAUGAACCGGCGAAUAAGCCCCGGCCAACUACGUGCCAGCAGCCGCGGUAACACGUAGGGGGCGAGCGUUGUUCGGAAUUACUGGGCGUAAAGGGCAUGUAGGCGGUCUGGUAAGCCUGGCGUGAAAGGCCACAGCUCAACUGUGGGAUUGCGUUGGGAACUGCUGGGCUUGAGUUAUGGAGAGGGAGCUAGAAUUCCUGGUGUAGGGGUGAAAUCUGUAGAUAUCAGGAAGAAUACCGAUGGCGAAGGCAAGCUCCUGGCCGAUGACUGACGCUGAGGUGCGAAAGUGUGGGGAUCAAACAGGAUUAGAUACCCUGGUAGUCCACACUGUAAACGAUGUGCACUAGGUGCUGGGGCGGUAGCUUCAGUGCCGGAGCGAACGUGGUAAGUGCACCGCCUGGGGAGUAUGCUCGCAAGGGUGAAACUCAAAGGAAUUGACGGGGGCCCGCACAAGCGGUGGAGCAUGUGGUUUAAUUCGAUGGUACGCGAGGAACCUUACCUGGGUUUGACAUACAGGGGGAUGUGGCAGCGAUGUCACAGACUGGAAACAGUACCCUGUACAGGUGCUGCAUGGCUGUCGUCAGCUCGUGCCGUGAGGUGUUGGGUUAAGUCCCGCAACGAGCGCAACCCCUACUGCCAGUUACUAACAGGUAAAGCUGAGGACUCUGGCGGAACUGCCGGUGACAAACCGGAGGAAGGUGGGGAUGACGUCAAGUCAUCAUGGCCCCUAUGUCCAGGGCUACACACGUGCUACAAUGGGCGAUACAGAGUGACGCGAAGCCGCGAGGUGGAGCAAAUCGCAGAAAAUCGCUCUCAGUUCGGAUUGGAGUCUGAAACCCGACUCCAUGAAGGUGGAAUCGCUAGUAAUCGCGCAUCAGCAUGGCGCGGUGAAUACGUUCCCGGGCCUUGUACACACCGCCCGUCACACCAUCCGAGUGGGGGGUACCCGAAGCCGUUAGUCCAACCUGCAAAGGGGGGCGACGUCGAAGUACGUCUUGUGAGGAGGGUGAAGUCGUC
rnacentral:rRNA from 1 species